CGAACGCUGGCGGCGUGCUUAACACAUGCAAGUCGAACGGAAAGGCCCUGCUUGCAGGGUACUCGAGUGGCGAACGGGUGAGUAACACGUGGGUGAUCUGCCCUGCACUUCGGGAUAAGCCUGGGAAACUGGGUCUAAUACCGGAUAGGAGCCAUUUUUAGUGUGAUGGUUGGAAAGUUUUUUCGGUGUAGGAUGAGCUCGCGGCCUAUCAGCUUGUUGGUGGGGUAAUGGCCUACCAAGGCGGCGACGGGUAGCCGGCCUGAGAGGGUGGACGGCCACAUUGGGACUGAGGUACGGCCCAGACUCCUACGGGAGGCAGCAGUGGGGAAUAUUGCACAAUGGGCGCAAGCCUGAUGCAGCGACGCCGCGUGGGGGAUGACGGCCUUCGGGUUGUAAACUCCUUUCGCUAGGGACGAAGCUUUUUGUGACGGUACCUAGAUAAGAAGCACCGGCUAACUACGUG
rnacentral:rRNA from 1 species